UGGGGAAUUUUGGACAAUGGGCGAAAGCCUGAUCCAGCAAUGCCGCGUGUGUGAAGAAGGCCUUCGGGUUGUAAAGCACUUUUGUCCGGAAAGAAAUCCUUGGCUCUAAUACAGUCGGGGGGAUGACGGUACCGGAAGAAUAAGCACCGGCUAACUACGUGCCAGCAGCCGCGGUAAUACGUAGGGUGCAAGCGUUAAUCGGAAUUACUGGGCGUAAAGCGUGCGCAGGCGGUUUGCUAAGACCGAUGUGAAAUCCCCGGGGCUCAACCUGGGUAACUGCAUUGGUGACUGGCAGGCUAGAGUAUGGCAGAGGGGGGUAGAAUUCCACGUGUAGCAGUGAAAGUGCGUAGAGAUGUGGAGGAAUACCGAUGGCGAAGGCAGCCCCCUGGGCCAAAUACUGACGCUCAUGCACGAAAGCGUGGGGAGCAAACAGGAUUAGAUACCCUGGUAGUCCACGCCCUAAACGAUGUCAACUAGUUGUUGGGGAUUCAUUUCCUUAGUAACGUAGCUAACGCGUGAAGUUGACCGCCUGGGGAGUAC
rnacentral:rRNA from 1 species